GGAAGGGGUUCAAUAUUUUUUGAUCUGAAAUGCCUUAACGAAAAGGGGUUAGAGCUGGAAUCCAGGCCCAAUUUUACGUCUAAAACAGAACCUGCAUUGUUAAAAUUCUCUGCAGGUAUAACAGGAAUAGCCAUUAAAGCAUUAGGGAAUUCUCUCAUCACCUCAGCACUAGCAUUUUUCGAUUCCUUCUCAUUUUUCUUCUCUAAUUGCCGUUUCAAGAAAACACGAAUCAAUUCUAAAGGCAAAUCGCCUCUUUUCAGCUCCAUUCUCCUCAAAG
rnacentral:misc_RNA from 1 species